UUAGUUGAAGCCAAAAAAAAGAGGCAUUUUAAUGUUAAUAAAAGAAUUGAAUUUCAUUCCAAUUAAA
rnacentral:tRNA from 1 species